UAGAGUUUGAUCAUGGCUCAGAUUGAACGCUGGCGGCAGGCCUAACACAUGCAAGUCGAGCGGAUGAAGAGAGCUUGCUCUCUGAUUCAGCGGCGGACGGGUGAGUAAUGCCUAGGAAUCUGCCUGGUAGUGGGGGACAACGUCUCGAAAGGGACGCUAAUACCGCAUACGUCCUACGGGAGAAAGCAGGGGACCUUCGGGCCUUGCGCUAUCAGAUGAGCCUAGGUCGGAUUAGCUAGUUGGUGAGGUAAUGGCUCACCAAGGCGACGAUCCGUAACUGGUCUGAGAGGAUGAUCAGUCACACUGGAACUGAGACACGGUCCAGACUCCUACGGGAGGCAGCAGUGGGGAAUAUUGGACAAUGGGCGAAAGCCUGAUCCAGCCAUGCCGCGUGUGUGAAGAAGGUCUUCGGAUUGUAAAGCACUUUAAGUUGGGAGGAAGGGCAGUUACCUAAUACGUAAUUGUUUUGACGUUACCGACAGAAUAAGCACCGGCUAACUCUGUGCCAGCAGCCGCGGUAAU
rnacentral:rRNA from 1 species